UCCAAAACGGUGUUUUGUGCACACUGGGGGUUUUGCUUUGAAUUGGUUGUUCUAUGUGUUUUCAUUCUUCAUACACUCAGGGUUUCUACUUUUAAGAAGGGAAUCCCGAUGUCACAGAUAGAUAAGUACCUGGGUUGGUGCUGGUAGAACACAAAGGAAAUCAUCCUCUGUCCCUCUGGAUACUUUGCUGGAUGCUCAGAUAAUCAAAACAACAUCAGACAGCUCCUGGCUCGCGGCCAGCUCUCAGAGUGCCAUUUGGGAUUCCAGAUCGGCGGAUCGGCUACUACUCCGGGAUACCCCAGGAUUGCUUUCCUACUGAAGGAGCCCCUAGAGCCUUGUGAACAUCUUGAUUGAGGACUUGUCACUUUAGUGUAUUGGAGACAAAACAUAUCUAUUGUUUUUAAGUUACCCACUUUGUAGUACUUUGUUACAGCAACUCCAGGAAACUAAUACAAAAGGUUAGAAGCAUGAUGGAGGGAAAAGUCCAUGGAAAUGGUUAAAUGAAGUAGUUCAGAACUGUGAGAGAAUAAGGCUCUGUGCUCUUUAUAACUGGAUCCCAGAUACAUUUCUUUAUUUUUAUCCUACCUUUAUUGAUAUAAGGCAUAUUUUUAACAUGAUAUUGUGUAAGUUGAAGGAGCAAAAUA